rnacentral:tRNA from 1 species
GGGGUCGUAGUUCAAUUGGUUAGAGCACCAGAUUGUCGAUCUGGGUGUUGCGGGUUCAAGUCCCGUCGACCCCGCCA